UAAUCAUUUGUCUACUAAUUAUAGACCUGUAUGAAAGGCAAAAUGAGGGUCUAACUGUCUCUUAUAGUACAUCAAUUAAACUGAUCUCCUAGUAAAAAAGCUAAGAUUAAAUCAUAAGACCAGAAGACCCUGUGAAGCUUAAACUAAACUAUUAAACCCAAUAAUAACUACUUUCGGUUGGGGCGACCUUGGAAAAAAAAAGAACUUCCAAAUAACAUAUACAUAAAAUAACAACCAGGCUUACACGCCACAUUACGACCCAGCAAGACUGAAAAUUGAAACAAGUUACUCCAGGGAUAACAGCGCAAUCUUCUUCAAGAGCCCAUAUCAAAAAGAAGGUUUACGACCUCGAUGUUGGAUCAGGACAUCCUAAUGGUGCAGCAGCUAUUAAGGGUU
rnacentral:rRNA from 1 species